rnacentral:rRNA from 1 species
CGCUAGUAAUCGUGGAUCAGAAUGCCACGGUGAAUACGUUCCCGGGCCUUGUACACACCGCCCGUCACACCAUGGGAGUGGGUUGCAAAAGAAGUAGGUAGCUUAACCUUCGGGAGGGCGCUUACCACUUUGUGAUUCAUGACUGGGGUGAAGUCGUAACAAGGUAACCGUAGGGGAACCUGCGGUUGGAUCACCUCCUUACCUGAAAGAAGC